rnacentral:rRNA from 1 species
GACGAACGCUGUCGGCGUGCUUAACACAUGCAAGUCGAACGGAAAGGCCCUGCUUUUGUGGGGUGCUCGAGUGGCGAACGGGUGAGUAACACGUGAGUAACCUGCCCUUGACUUUGGGAUAACUUCAGGAAACUGGGGCUAAUACCGGAUAGGAGCUCCUGCUGCAUGGUGGGGGUUGGAAAGUUUCGGCGGUUGGGGAUGGACUCGCGGCUUAUCAGCUUGUUGGUGGGGUAGUGGCUUACCAAGGCUUUGACGGGUAGCCGGCCUGAGAGGGUGACCGGCCACAUUGGGACUGAGAUACGGCCCAGACUCCUACGGGAGGCAGCAGUGGGGAAUAUUGCACAAUGGGCGGAAGCCUGAUGCAGCAACGCCGCGUGCGGGAUGACGGCCUUCGGGUUGUAAACCGCUUUCGCCUGUGACGAAGCGUGAGUGACGGUAAUGGGUAAAGAAGCACCGGCUAACUACGUGCCAGCAGCCGCGGUGAUACGUAGGGUGCGAGCGUUGUCCGGAUUUAUUGGGCGUAAAGGGCUCGUAGGUGGUUGAUCGCGUCGGAAGUGUAAUCUUGGGGCUUAACCCUGAGCGUGCUUUCGAUACGGGUUGACUUGAGGAAGGUAGGGGAGAAUGGAAUUCCUGGUGGAGCGGUGGAAUGCGCAGAUAUCAGGAGGAACACCAGUGGCGAAGGCGGUUCUCUGGGCCUUUCCUGACGCUGAGGAGCGAAAGCGUGGGGAGCGAACAGGCUUAGAUACCCUGGUAGUCCACGCUGUAAACGGUGGGUACUAGGUGUGGGGUCCAUUCCACGGGUUCCGUGCCGUAGCUAACGCUUUAAGUACCCCGCCUGGGGAGUACGGCCGCAAGGCUAAAACUCAAAGGAAUUGACGGGGCCCCGCACAAGCGGCGGAGCAUGCGGAUUAAUUCGAUGCAACGCGUAGAACCUUACCUGGGUUUGACAUGGAUCGGGAGUGCUCAGAGAUGGGUGUGCCUCUUUUGGGGUCGGUUCACAGGUGGUGCAUGCCUGUCGUCAGCUCGUGUCGUGAGAUGUUGGGUUAAGUCCCGCAACGAGCGCAACCCUUGUUCACUGUUGCCAGCACGUUAUGGUGGGGACUCAGUGGAGACCGCCGGGGUUAACUCGGAGGAAGGUGGGGAUGACGUCAAGUCCUCAUGCCCCUUAUGUCCAGGGCUUCACGCAUGCUACAAUGGCUGGUACAGAGAGUGGCGAGCCUGUGAGGGUGAGCGAAUCUCGGAAAGCCGGUCUCAGUUCGGAUUGGGGUCUGCAACUCGACCUCAUGAAGUCGGAGUCGCUAGUAAUCGCAGAUCAGCAACGCUGCGGUGAAUACGUUCCCGGGGCU